rnacentral:sRNA from 1 species
GCCAUUUACAAGAUGGUUUCGUCCGUGAUGAAGAUGCCGGAGGACGAGUCGACCCCGGAAAAGAGGACUGAGAAAAUCUUCCGCCAAAUGGACACAAACAACGACGGCUCUGGGUGGGGACCUGUUGAAGACCCUUCAAGCCCCCUCCAGCCUCCUCCCAGCAACCACCCUCCCAGCCUGGCCAUACCACGAUGGCAGAAGUGACAGAGAGGAUGUUGACCACGCAGUACUGCAGAGCCACCGCAUCUUGAGGGGUGCCCACGUAGCGCAGCACUGUGCCAUGGAACAGGGCAGCUGUGAUGAAGCUCACAUGGCCCAGCACCACCAGCACCAGGCCUGUCUUCAUCAGCACCUUCCGGAAGUCGCCCACACUCAGGCCUCCUGUGGGGGACAGCUAUGUCAGGGCUGUGCGUGGGGCUUAUCCUGCUGGGCAGAAGGGGAAGCUGAGGCCCUGGCCCUAGUGAUGGACAUUGGGUUCUAAAUGUAUUUCUGAAUGACUUGGA